rnacentral:lncRNA from 10 species
GAAGGGGGGUGUGUUUGUUGAGUGAAUAAGCGAGUGACUGGGGAGGCUUGGUUUCGGGGUCCCAGAGCCCGAUUGACUCAGCUGAAAAGUUCAGGAGAAACAGAGACUUUUGCAGGAGCAGGCUGGGGGCUAGGGCAGACGAGUGAGGAGGACAAAGGGUCUGUUCCCUGUCACUCUGACAGAGAGAGGGGCUUCCUGCCAGGAAAGAGUGGUUUCUGGAGCAGACCAAGGAAGGAAACACCGCCCGAAUUCACGGAAGAGGCUGAGGACUCUGGCUGGAAACACGUGGCCGGCUUCUCGCCUCUCUCCUUGCGGCUAUUUGCCCUGUUUCCUGGCCAAGGUAGAAAGAGAACAAGCCAUUUUGCUCAUCAUCAACAAACCUUGACCAAGGAAGUGUCUGCGUGUGCAAUGUGCCAUCUGAACCCUGGAGGCAUAAGCAGUAUGGUCACUUGUCCCAGCAUUGUUGGGAAGUGAAAAUGUAUCCAUGGAAAGAGAGCAGAAAGAUAAGACUACGCCCCGGGGAUAAUGAAAAAGAGAGGACUUGACCGCUGAGGGAUGGAGUUCCAAGGAAGUCAGUCCUUGAUGGGGCCAAGCAGCAGGGGAAGACGGGCGCUAUCAGGCUGGGGACAGAGCCCAAGCCAAGACCCAGGUGUAUGAAUGGACAGGACCUGAGAUGACCCGGUGGGUCAAACUGUCUGACUGUAGAAGAGGAGCUGGGCAGAGAGCAGAGGUCCAGGGACAGGCCAAGGUUUGGAAUGCCAAGUGCUCAUUUGGAUCUCCUUCCAAA